UCCUCCUAAAGAGUAACGGAGGAGCACGAAGGUUGGCUAAUCCUGGUCGGACAUCAGGAGGUUAGUGCAAUGGCAUAAGCCAGCUUGACUGCGAGCGUGACGGCGCGAGCAGGUGCGAAAGCAGGUCAUAGUGAUCCGGUGGUUCUGAAUGGAAGGGCCAUCGCUCAACGGAUAAAAGGUACUCCGGGGAUAACAGGCUGAUACCGCCCAAGAGUUCAUAUCGACGGCGGUGUUUGGCACCUCGAUGUCGGCUCAUCACAUCCUGGGGCUGAAGUAGGUCCCAAGGGUAUGGCUGUUCGCCAUUUAAAGUGGUACGCGAGCUGGGUUUAGAACGUCGUGAGACAGUUCGGUCCCUAUCUGCCGUGGGCGCUGGAGAACUGAGGGGGGCUGCUCCUAGUACGAGAGGACCGGAGUGGACGCAUCACUGGUGUUCGGGUUGUCAUGCCAAUGGCACUGCCCGGUAGCUAAAUGCGGAAGAGAUAAGUGCUGAAAGCAUCUAAGCACGAAACUUGCCCCGA
rnacentral:rRNA from 4 species